GACGAACCGUGCAAACGUUAUUCGGAAUCACUGGGCUUAAAGGGCGCGUAGGCGGGUCCUCAAGUCAGGGGGGAAAUCCCACGGCUCAACCGUGGAAGUGCCUUUGAUACUGGGGGUCUCGAGGGAGGUAGGGGCGUGCGGAACUUCCGGUGGAGCGGUGAAAUGCGUAGAUAUCGGAAGGAACACCGGUGGCGAAAGCGGCGCGCUGGACCUCUUCUGACGCUGAGGCGCGAAAGCCAGGGGAGCAAACGGG
rnacentral:rRNA from 1 species